AGCCUCGUUGGAUACAACAUCAUCGGCUUUGAAGCGUGCAGGCGCUAAUCGCGAAGUAGACCUGAAUGAAACUCCGGCUGUUCAAACCGAAAAGCUGCAACUAAGAUUGCAAUCCCUUCAAAAAAACAGUUGAGAAUGGUAGGCGCUUCUUUCCCCAUUGCUCCGAGGUGCUUGAAAAUUUCUUGGAGGACCACAUACCAGAUGUUUUCUUCCUAGAGAAGGGCUCAGAAGAAGAGCAGCGAAUCAAGAAGGCGCGAUUCAUGGAGCUCAAAGACGAUGUCCAGAAGGCGUUUCACAUGGAUAUGGCCGAAAACAAACGCCAUUCUGGCUUGUCAUCGUCGAUGUCUUCCUCUUCUUCGUCGUCUCGCAAGGAAGGUGUUGGCCAUAGAGUGAGGAAAAAGUGAAAGUCCAUUGUCUAUGACCUCCUAAAAUAGUUGCUGUUGAUAAGACUAAGAAAGUUUUGGUCUCUUUUGUGGUAGUGUUUGCAAGGAUAGUAGCAUCUUGUAUUAUAUUUUGUGAAUAAGAUGCUAUGUUGUUAGAGAUCUUUGUCUUAGAAAUGAACAUGAGAAUCUUUUUGGGGAAACAUCACAUAUUCUCUUAUUACAGUCAAAUCUAUUCAAGAUCAGCAGAUAUCUUUCCUAGCUUAUUCAAGUUACUUAUAUUGAAGUUGGAACACAAGGUUGUUCCUUCAC